UACAGAGGGUGCUAGCGUUGUUCGGAAUCAUUGGGCGUAAAGGGCGUGUAGGCGGUUUGUUAAGUCAUGUGUGAAAUCCCUCGGCUCAACCGGGGAACGACGCAUGAAACUGGCAAGCUAGAGUACCAAAGAGGGGGGUGGAAUUCCCGGUGUAGCGGUGAAAUGCGCAGAUAUCAGGAGGAACACCGGUGGCGAAGGCGGAUCUCUGGGCCAUUACUGACGCUCAUGCACGAAAGCGUGGGGAGCAAACAGG
rnacentral:rRNA from 1 species